AAAACAUUCGGAUCGUCGGUCUACCGAGCAAUUUCAACUGCUCGGUUGAAGACCUUUUCUUUGUAAC
rnacentral:pre_miRNA from 1 species